rnacentral:rRNA from 1 species
GAUGAACGCUGGCGGCAUGCCUUACACAUGCAAGUCGAACGGCAGCGGGGGAGAAGCUUGCUUUUCCUGCCGGCGAGUGGCGAACGGGUGAGUAAUACAUCGGAACGUGCCCUGUAGUGGGGGAUAACUAGUCGAAAGAUUAGCUAAUACCGCAUACGACCUGAGGGUGAAAGUGGGGGACCGCAAGGCCUCAUGCUAUAGGAGCGGCCGAUGUCUGAUUAGCUAGUUGGUGGGGUAAAGGCCUACCAAGGCGACGAUCAGUAGCUGGUCUGAGAGGACGAUCAGCCACACUGGGACUGAGACACGGCCCAGACUCCUACGGGAGGCAGCAGUGGGGAAUUUUGGACAAUGGGCGAAAGCCUGAUCCAGCAAUGCCGCGUGUGUGAAGAAGGCCUUCGGGUUGUAAAGCACUUUUGUCCGGAAAGAAAUGGCUCUGGUUAAUACCUGGGGUCGAUGACGGUACCGGAAGAAUAAGGACCGGCUAACUACGUGCCAGCCGCCGCUGUAA